GUCUUUUUGAAUUUUAUUUAAAGUCUGACCUGCCCUCUGAGGAGUUUAAAGGCUGCAGUAUCCUGACUGUACAAAGGUAGCAUAAUCACUAGUCUUUUAAUUGGAGACUUGUAUGAAUGGUUUGACGAAGAAGCAACUGUCUCAAUUUAAUUUUUGUAGAAAUUUAUUUUUUAGUUAAAAAGCUAAAAUGAUUUUAAAAGACGAGAAGACCCUAUAGAGUUUAACAUAUUUUUUUUUAUUAGAAUUUAUUAGGAUAUUUUGAUUCAGUAAAAUAAAUUUGUUUUGUUGGGGCGAUGGAAAAAUUUAAUUAACUUUUUUUUAUUUAAACAAUAAUGUUUGACUAUAUGAUCCGCUUAGGCGAUUAAAAGAUUAAAUUACCUUAGGGAUAACAGCGUAAUUUUUCUUGAGAGUUCCUAUUAAAAGAAAAGUUUGCGACCUCGAUGUUGGAUUAAAAUUAAUAAUUGGUGUAGAAGCUGAUUUAUUAGGUCUGUUCGACCUUUAAAAUUUUACGUGAUCUGAGUCAAGACCGGA
rnacentral:rRNA from 1 species